ensembl:lncRNA
UGAUGGGGCUCUCAAGGUAGACAGGGGUUGGGAUGGCACCAAGUUGCAUGGUUACAGUGACAGAGUGACAGUGUAAUCUUCAGGGACAGGAGGUUGUUCCAGGGGGGCCCCAGGAGCUCCUGGAGUCCUCCAGAGGUCUCAAAUGGGAAUUUUGAGGACAACCCCACAUAGUGACACGUCCUCGCUCUGCUUUGUCCCCACGGGAUCACCCCCCAAACCAUCUGUUUCUACUAAAAUAAAUACCAUGUUAAUUUCAUGGUAUUUUUUUUCCCAGCUUCCCUUCAGAAAUGGACGGUUCCCGCCAAACCCCCGUGUAAAGCCCCACCUGGGGUAAAACAACUCCCCCAGGGCCACCGGGUGACACCAGGCCAACCGUCAGCGGUGCCACCACUGGAACAACCGCCUGUCCCCAAAGAUUACCCUGUCAGUGUAACCAUGCAACCUGGCGCCAUCCCAACCCCUGUCUACCUUGAGAGCCCCAUCAGCGUCCUACAGCUCCCUCCCAAGCUGGGAGGGAGUGUUGAUCAGCCGGAGGGGAGAAAGGCACUACAGAGGGACGUGGAAAGGCUGGCUGGCUGGGCCAAGGUAAACUGUAUGAGCUGAUGAAGGGCUUGUGAAGGGCCUGGGGCCCCCAG